rnacentral:tRNA from 1 species
GGCUCCGUAGCUCAGCGGUUAGAGCGCACCACUCAUAAUGGUGAGGUCCCUGGUUCAAAUCCAGGCGGAGCUA